GGGUUGAUUGAAGAAUAGGGUUGUAAACAAGUAACUUCAAGGACAUCAGGCUCUGUUAGCAACUAUAGAGAAAAGGAAAUUACUAAGAUGAGCUUUGCCAGAACCCGCUGGUGGUGAUAUGACAACGAUCCUAAAACAAAGUGAUGAAGAAAUAAACACCAGGGGACACAAAGCCCACUACCACAUUUUAGUGUGCAUGUAGGAGGCAUUCUCUAAAAGUAUGAUGUAAUUUAUGUAACCUAACGAACAUGUAUGUUUAAGGACAAUAUAAUCACAGCCUGGUUGAUGCUUGGAUGAGACAUGCUAGGAGGAGCGAUCCCCAUGUCUCCUGGUACCACAAUAAAGAAUACCAGCCUGUCAACUUAAACACUGUUGGCGAGUUCCUGGAGAUUUCUCUGAAUCAAUUUGGCACCACAGAUGGGACCCUUUCUGCUUGGCUGCAGGACCCACUGAGGACAGGGCUCCCGAGGGCCCCCAGGACAGAUUUCCCUGGAGGGACCCCUUGACUCACUUGGAUCACUGCAGGAGCAGACAAGGACCAUGACUAUCAUUGUAAAGAAAAGCGAACAGGAAGAUCUCCCUGAAAUUGAAGAACUCCUCAAUCAGGUAUAUCUGGGAGUAUGGGCAUCUGAAGUUCCAGGUAAGGCGAAAAAAUUCUUUGCCUGUUAAAGUAGAAAUAAAAGGGGAGCCUGCCCAAUUAGAAUAAAACAGUAUCCCUUAAAAUUGGAGGAUCGAAAGGGAAUCAAAGAAAUCAUUGAUAAAUUCUUAAAAUAUUGAUUAUUAAUUGAAUGUGAAUUGGAAUAUAAUACUCCUAUCUUGCCAGUAAAGAAAUCCGAUGGUAAAAGUUACAGAUUAGUUCAAGAUCUCAGAGCAAUCAACCAAACUGUG